UACGGAGGGAGCUAGCGUUAUUCGGAAUUACUGGGCGUAAAGCGCACGUAGGCGGCUUUGUAAGUUAGAGGUGAAAGCCUGGAGCUCAACUCCAGAAUUGCCUUUAAGACUGCAUCGCUUGAAUCCAGGAGAGGUGAGUGGAAUUCCGAGUGUAGAGGUGAAAUUCGUAGAUAUCUGGAGGAACACCGGUGGCGAAGGCGGCAUCCUGGACCGGCAUUGACGCUGAGGCGCGAAAGCUAGGGGAGCAAACGGG
rnacentral:rRNA from 1 species